ACUCAAAUGAAUUGACGGGGGCCCGCACAAGCGGCGGAGCAUGCGGAUUAAUUCGAUGCAACGCGAAGAACCUUACCAAGGCUUGACAUGCACCUGAAAAGGCUGGAAACAGUCUCCUCGCAAGACAGGUGCACAGGUGGUGCAUGGUUGUCGUCAGCUCGUGUCGUGAGAUGUUGGGUUAAGUCCCGCAACGAGCGCAACCCUCGUUCUAUGUUGCCAGCGCGUUAUGGCGGGAACUCAUAGGAGACUGCCGGGGUCAACUCGGAGGAAGGUGGGGAUGACGUCAAAUCAUCAUGCCCCUUAUGUCUUGGGCUUCACGCAUGCUACAAUGGCCGGUACAAAGGGCUGCAAUACCGUAAGGUGGAGCGAAUCCCAAAAAGCCGGUCUCAGUUCGGAUUGAGGUCUGCAACUCGACCUCAUGAAGUCGGAGUCGCUAGUAAUCGCAGAUCAGCAACGCUGCGGUGAAUACGUUCCCGGGCCUUGUACACACCGCCCGU
rnacentral:rRNA from 1 species